GUCUGUGGCCACACCACUCUGGACGCGACUGAUCCCAUCUGAUCUCGGAAGCUGAGCAGAGUCAAGCCUGGUUAGGACUUAGGUGGGAGCCGAUAGGAUAGAGGAGUGAGGAGGGGACUGAUU
rnacentral:rRNA from 1 species